AGUCAGAGUGAAUACCGAGCUAAGUGGUGAUCAUAGAAACUGGUGUCUUGAGUCGGAGAGGUAAAUGAAUUCUUAGGUAGCGUGAAAUGGUAGAGAUAGAAAACCACCAGUGGGAGGGCGACUUAUUGACUGUGACUGUCGCUGAGGCAUGAAAGCGUGGGAGCAAACAGGAUUAGAUACCCUGUUAGUGCACGCAGUGAACGAUGAUUACUAGUGUCGCGGGUAGAACCUCGGUGCCGCAGUUAACACAAUAAGUAUUCCGCGUGGGGAGUACGAUCGCAAGAUUAAAAUCAAAGGAAUUGACGGGGGCCCGCACAAGCAGCGGAGCAUGUGGUUUAAUUCGAAGCAACGCGAAGAACCUUACAUAGACUUGACAUCCCUUGCAUAUCCCAGAGAUAGGUGAAGUCCUUCGAGACAAGGUGACAGGUGGUGCAUGGUGGUCGUCAGCUCGUGUCGUGAGAUGUGGGGUUAAGUCCCGCAACGAGCGCAACCCUUAUCAUUAGUUGCUACCAUUAAGUUGAGCACUUUAGUGAGAGCUGCCCGGGGUAAC
rnacentral:rRNA from 1 species